rnacentral:rRNA from 1 species
AUUGAACGCUGGCGGCAUGCCUUACACAUGCAAGUCGAACGGUAACAGGUCCUCGGAUGCUGACGAGUGGCGAACGGGUGAGUAAUACAUCGGAACGUGCCUAGGAGUGGGGGAUAACUACUCGAAAGAGUGGCUAAUACCGCAUGAGAUCUAAGGAGGAAAGCAGGGGAUCGCAAGACCUUGUGCUACUAGAGCGGACGAUGGCAGACUAGGUAGGUGGUGGGGUAAAAGCUGACCAAGCCAACGAUCUGUAGCUGGUCUGAGAGGACGAUCAGCCACACUGGGACUGAGAAACGGCCCAGACUCCUACGGGAGGCAGCAGUGGGGAAUUUUGGACAAUGGGCGCAAGCCUGAUCCAGCAAUGCCGCGUGCAGGAUGAAGGCCUUCGGGUUGUAAACUGCUUUUGUACGGAACGAAAAGCCCCGGGUUAAUACCCUGGGGUCAUGACGGUACCGUAAGAAUAAGCACCGGCUAACUACGUGCCAGCCGCCGCGGUAA